GUCCAGGGGCGGGAAUCGAACCCACAACCUUCUGCUUACCGGGCAAGUGCCAUGUCCACUAGGCUACCCUGGA
rnacentral:tRNA from 1 species